GGCUGAUCUGAGAGCCCUGGUGUUUACACCUAAUUGUUCACAACCAGUGACAGAUUUCUUUGUUUUUUUCCUCCACUCCCACUACUUUGCUUGACUAGCCUUAA
ensembl:misc_RNA Y_RNA Y RNA